CCCUACGGGGUGCAGCAUGCGCGAAGACUUUACAAUGCCGGCAACGGCGAUAAGGGGACCUCGAGUGCCAGGUUACAAAUCUGGCUGUCGCGAUGCCUAAAAAGCAUUGCAUAGCAAGGGCCGGGCAAGACCGGUGCCAGCCGCCGCGGUAACACCGGCGGCUCGAGUGGUAACCGUUAUUAUUGGGUCUAAAGGGUCUGUAGCCGGCCGGGUAAGUCUCUUGGGAAAUCCAGCAGCUCAACUGUUGGGCUUUCAGGAGAUACUGCCUGGCUCGAGGCCGGGAGAGGUGAGAGGUACUUCAGGGGUAGGGGUGAAAUCUUGUAAUCCUUGAAGGACCACCAGUGGCGAAGGCGUCUCACCAGAACGGACCUGACGGCAAGGGACGAAAGCUAGGGGCACGAACCGGAUUAGAUACCCGGGUAGUCCUAGCCGUAAACGAUACUCGCUAGGUGUCGGCCACGGUGCGACCGUGGUCGGUGCCGUAGGGAAGCCGUGAAGCGAGCCACCUGGGAAGUACGGCCGCAAGGCUGAAACUUAAAGGAAUUGGCGGGGGAGCAC
rnacentral:rRNA from 1 species